rnacentral:rRNA from 1 species
GAUGAACGCUAGCGGCAGGCCUAACACAUGCAAGUCGAGGGGUAGACAUCUUCGGAUGUUGAGACCGGCGCACGGGUGCGUAACGCGUAUGCAAUCUACCUUAUACUAAGGGAUAGCCCAGAGAAAUUUGGAUUAAUACCUUACGGUUAAUUGGAAAGGCAUCUUUCUAAUUAUAAAGAUUCAUUGGUAUAAGAUGAGCAUGCGUCCCAUUAGUUAGUUGGUAAGGUAACGGCUUACCAAGACGAUGAUGGGUAGGGGUCCUGAGAGGGAGAUCCCCCACACUGGUACUGAGACACGGACCAGACUCCUACGGGAGGCAGCAGUGAGGAAUAUUGGUCAAUGGGCGCAAGCCUGAACCAGCCAUGCCGCGUGCAGGAUGAAGCAUCUAUGGUGUGUAAACUGCUUUUGUACGGGAAGAAAAAACAUUACGUGUAAUGUACUGACGGUACCGUAAGAAUAAGGAUCGGCUAACUCCGUGCCAGCAGCCGCCGUAA